GAUGAACGCUAGCGGCAGGCUUAAUACAUGCAAGUCGAGCGGAGAUGAGGUGCUUGCACCUUAUCUUAGCGGCGGACGGGUGAGUAAUGCUUAGGAAUCUGCCUAUUAGUGGGGGACAACAUUCCGAAAGGAAUGCUAAUACCGCAUACGCCCUACGGGGGAAAGCAGGGGAUCUUCGGACCUUGCGCUAAUAGAUGAGCCUAAGUCGGAUUAGCUAGUUGGUGGGGUAAAGGCCUACCAAGGCGACGAUCUGUAGCGGGUCUGAGAGGAUGAUCCGCCACACUGGGACUGAGACACGGCCCAGACUCCUACGGGAGGUAGCAGUGGGGAAUAUUGGACAAUGGGCGGAAGCCUGAUCCAGCCAUGCCGCGUGUGUGAAGAAGGCCUUUUGGUUGUAAAGCACUUUAAGCGAGGAGGAGGCUACCUGGAUUAAUACUCUAGGAUAGUGGACGUUACUCGCAGAAUAAGCACCGGCUAACUCUGUGCCAGCCGCCGCGGUAAUAC
rnacentral:rRNA from 1 species